rnacentral:rRNA from 1 species
AACGAACGCUGGCGGCAUGCCUAACACAUGCAAGUCGAACGAUACCUUCGGUUCUAGUGUCGCCCGGGUGCGUAACGCGUGGUAACCUGCCCUUAGGUUCGGAAUAACUCCCCGAUAGGGGUGCUAAUACCUUAUAAUGUCUUCGUACCAACUAUUUAUCGCCUUUGGAUGGGCCCGCGUUGGAUUAGCUAGUUGGUAGGGUAAAAGCCUACCAAGUCGACGAUCCAUAGCUGGUCGGAGAGGAUGAUCAGCCACACUGGGACUGGGACACGGCCCAGACGGGAAGGAGAGGCAGGAGAGGGGAAUAUAGGACAAGGGGCGAAAGGCUGAACCAGCAAGGCCGGGUGAGUGAUGAAGGGGUUAGGGUUGGAAAGCUAUUGUAACCGGGAUGAUAAUGACAGUACCGGGAGAAGAAGCUCCGGCUAACUACGUG